UAGAGUUUGAUCAUGGCUCAGAUUGAACGCUGGCGGCAGGCCUAACACAUGCAAGUCGAGCGGCAGCACAAGGGAGUUUACUCCUGAGGUGGCGAGCGGCGGACGGGUGAGUAAUGCCUAGGGAUCUGCCCAGUCGAGGGGGAUAACAGUUGGAAACGACUGCUAAUACCGCAUACGCCCUACGGGGGAAAGGAGGGGACCUUCGGGCCUUCCGCGAUUGGAUGAACCUAGGUGGGAUUAGCUAGUUGGUGAGGUAAUGGCUCACCAAGGCGACGAUCCCUAGCUGUUCUGAGAGGAUGAUCAGCCACACUGGGACUGAGACACGGCCCAGACUCCUACGGGAGGCAGCAGUGGGGAAUAUUGCACAAUGGGGGAAACCCUGAUGCAGCCAUGCCGCGUGUGUGAAGAAGGCCUUCGGGUUGUAAAGCACUUUCAGUAGGGAGGAAAGGGUGUAGUUUAAUACGCUAUAUCUGUGACGUACC
rnacentral:rRNA from 1 species